rnacentral:rRNA from 1 species
UAAGGAAUAUUGGGCAAUGGACGCAAGUCUGACCCAGCCAUCCCGCGUGCAGGAUGACGGCGCUUCGCGUUGUAAACUGCUUUUGUGUAAGAUGAAACACCUGGAUUUAUCCGGGCUUGACGUUAUUACAAGAAUAAGCACCGGCUAACUCC